GCCAGAUAUAUGUUUUAAUAUUCUGAAUCGAUUUGCAAAGCUUGUUUUUAAUGUACGGAAUUUCUUUAUUUGUUGUACAAGUAGACAUGGGUAUCGGUAAUUUAGCAUGGAGGCAACGGAGAAAUGACGAGAAAAGUGCAUGUUUUUACAAGUCUAAAAUGACCGACUUUAAUCAAAAAUUAAACUGUUAGGACCAACAUUGUU
rnacentral:lncRNA from 1 species